GAUGAACGCUGGCGGCGUGCCUAAUACAUGCAAGUCGAGCGAACAGACGAGGAGCUUGCUCCUCUGACGUUAGCGGCGGACGGGUGAGUAACACGUGGAUAACCUACCUAUAAGACUGGGAUAACUUCGGGAAACCGGAGCUAAUACCGGAUAAUAUAUUGAACCGCAUGGUUCAAUAGUGAAAUACGGUUUUGCUUUCACUUAUAGAUGGAUCCGCGCCGCAUUAGCUAGUUGGUAAGGUAACGGCUUACCAAGGCAACGAUGCGUAGCCGACCUGAGAGGGUGAUCGGCCACACUGGAACUGAGACACGGUCCAGACUACUACGGGAGGCAGCAGUAGGGAAUCUUCCGCAAUGGGCGAAAGCCUGACGGAGCAACGCCGCGUGAGUGAUGAAGGUCUUCGGAUCGUAAAACUCUGUUAUUAGGGAAGAACAAAUGUGUAAGUAACUAUGCACGUCUUGACGGUACCUAAUCAGAAAGCCACGGCUAACUACGUG
rnacentral:rRNA from 1 species